rnacentral:misc_RNA from 1 species
AGGAGCCGUAUGCGGUAGUUCCGCACGUACGGAUCUGUGCGGGGGGUGACAGGUAACUGCCAUCCCUACCGCGC